UUCAAAAUGAUUAAUUUUAAGUUGUGUGA
rnacentral:piRNA from 1 species